rnacentral:lncRNA from 1 species
GUUUCGCCCCGCCACUUAGUGUUCUAAUAGAAUGGAAAGUGGCCUCAUCUGUUGACCCAAAAAAAGUCAUCUUCAAUUAAUUUAUCGGCUGGAUGGCCGCAGUGGAAGUGUGCUGUGUUUCCAACUUGGAGGAUCCGGGUUAAAUUUCCAGUUUCACAUCUCCAAAUUUUUCAGAGGAAGCUGGGCCAAUUCGAUGAACUUAUCCAACGGACCGCUCAUACUCCUGACAGCUAUCCAAGGAGAUGGCUAUCCCAUCAGGGAUUUGAGCGACUUUGGUAAUACUGGCGGCCGAAUAGCCGAUUGGCACCAUGCAAGAGGAUCCGGGUUUGCAUCCCAGUCCGGCAUCUCCUGUAAAGUUUUUUCGGGAUUCUGUGCCCGGCCUGGUCCUCCGCAAGUAUGGAUGCAGGCUAUGGUUGGAACUGGCCCCGCCCCUUAGUAGUUUCGCUGAUUGGAAAGGAGUAUAAAAUGAAGAAAAAAGUUUCGUAGUAAUACUGGAAUGCCAGCUGCUGGAAUGAUAUCUAUCACAUGGAAAGUAGCGUAAAGCCAUAUGGAAAAAUGUAAUUAAUUUGUGCAUUCAAUUAUAUAAAUAAUAUUCUAAGCAUAUUCCAUUCUAAAAGUUAUAAGAACAAUACAGGUAUAUAUAUAUAUUAAUUUUGACGCCAGUUUCCAAUCAGUGACGAUUAGUAAGUGACGGCGCAAUUACAACCCUGCCACAGGCUAACCCUUGCCGAGCGGUUUUUUUUGUCAACAGAUGACGCCACUUUCCAUUCAAUUAGAAUACUGAGUGACGGGGC